AAUCCAUGGUUUGGACAUCUUCUUAGUAACAUCUUGAAGCGCUCCCAAGCUUCAUAUAAGGGUUCAUCUGGUCCUUGCCUAAAUGUAGAAAUGCUAGAUUUAGCUU
rnacentral:snoRNA from 1 species